rnacentral:lncRNA from 1 species
UCACGGGUUAAAAAUUGGCGGGCCACCUUUCGGCCCAAGGAAAAGUUUCGGCCGUGGGCCCCACUUGUCAAGGAAGAAAAGAAGAAGGAGAAUAGAAAACCGGAUGGGCCCUAGGUGGAAGUGAUAGUGGGUAGAAGCGAGUUGGGUGAGAAAAGUUUGGGCCGGGGGUUUUUAUUAAACCUUAGGUUUUCUUUUAUUAGAUAAAUAGAUUAAAUGCUGUUUUCACCAUUUAAUUCACAGGAAAUUCUAGAAGUAUCCAAAAUUAGUAAAACCAAUUUUAUUAGGAUUGUUUUAUUUUCCUUUAUGCAUUAAAAUUCUUAAACCCUAGGAAAAAUAAUAAAAAUUUAGGUAUUUAUUUAAUGCCUUUUUGUUUAAGGUAUUUAAAUAAAUGCUUAAGCUUUAUUAAAUGUAUAAAACUUGAGUAAUGCUUUAUUAUCCACAAAUCAUUAUUAAUUCAUAGGAAGUAAGUUUUUG